rnacentral:misc_RNA from 1 species
AAGUCGUAACAAGGUUUCCGUAGGUGAACCUGCGGAAGGAUCAUUAACGAAUGAAUGCCACAUGGGGUUGUAGCUGGUCCUCGCGGACAAGUGCUCGCCUCUGUGUCUUCCAACACACCCUGUGCACACCGGCGUGGGUUGCAGGGUCCCUUUGGGAUCUCCGCGGCUCAUCGCUUCUCUCUUACAAACUCUUGUAUGUCUCAGAAUGUACCUUGCGCUUAAACGCAUCUAAUACAACUUUCAACAACGGAUCUCUUGGCUCUC